rnacentral:misc_RNA from 1 species
UGGGCCUAAGAACCAAAAUGAAUAGAGUCAGCAUUCAUUUAAUAGUUAUUGGUUGUAACAUAAUCCUCCUAGGAACAGGAUGAUGCAGAGCUCUAAAUUAAGGCUAUUUUUUGAUGGGGGUAUGGAAAGGAGAGACAUAUAUGUUGCCACUUAUACGACUAGUUACAAAAUAGGAAGGAAAUAUAUAUAGUCUUUAUAGGCCACAUACAUUUCCCUCUUACUUUUCUUCCUUCCAACCAAACAUAACAUAAGAAUAAAACAAAUCUAUAAGCUGAAUGCCGUGCUCGUCUUGAAUGGAUAUAUACAAGAAACUUAUUUCAGGUGCAGUUCCCAGGUGCUAAAAGGGAAUUUGUGGAACAGAGAUGAUUGAGAUCCAUACUCCAACCUGAUUAGUAAUCCAAGUAAUCAGGGCUCAGAUAACCAACACUCAAUUGGAUUUUCAAUUACUUUGUGCUUAAUAUUUGCAAACAGGAGGCAAGGGCUUAGACACCUGACUUCAGAGAGCAACUAAUAUUCUAAUUUAUAGUGUACCAAUUCAUACAAGGAGAAGUAAUCUUGUUUUGAUCUAAUACUAGAAGAGCUGACGGCCCACAAAUAUAGACAAACAAAGAGACUUUUACAAAAGCCACUAGGCUUUUCUUUUUAAAUAUAACUAAAUAAUAAAUGAGAGCCUUAUUGUAAUUUAAGAUAAAGAAAAAAAGUACCA